CCCUCCCCCGGGGACCGCAGCGGGCUGGAGGCGCUGCUGGUGUCAGAGCCCUGCGAAAGCUGGCAGUUCCGCGGCGGGGAUGCCGAGCAGCGCGGUGUCCGCCAGCAGCUCUCGCCACUGAGGACUUCAGAGGCGUCCCAGGCCCUGAAGACCCGCGCGCCGCGGCCAACCCUAGGCUUCCGAGUCCACUCGCCGCUCCAGAAGCCCGGCGCGAGGAGAGUCCGGCGAGGCAGCGGCCGUUCCUGGACUCUGGGCUUUGGGAGCGUCUGGAGCCCGGAGAGACACCCCGGCUUCUAGAACCUCCCCAGCGGCCCCCGGUCCCGGCUUCCUGCGGGCGUCCGGCCACAAACCCCUCCGGUGCCCGGGUCGGCGGCCAGCCGCGCCUGGGUCCUGGCGCACACCAUGAUCGUUGCGGACUCUGAAUGCCGCACGGAGCUGAAGGGCUACCUGCCGUUCUCCCGGGGCGGCGGCGGCGGCGGCGGCAGCAGCAGCAGCAGCAGCAGCCCGGGGGCCGGAGAGGAGCAGAGGAUGAGGUGGGCUCGGGGAGGCCCUCGAGGACCCAGCGCCUUCAUCCCAGUGGAGGAGGACGGGAGGGGAACCCAUCCUCUCCUCACCUUUGCUUGGCAGGUCCUACGGGAGGGAGCUGAGAGCCUCGAGCAGAACCUGGGGCUGGAGGCACUGAUGUCCUGUGGGCGUGUGGACAACCUGGCAGUGGUGAUGGGCCUGCACCCCGACUACCUUAGCAGAUUCUGGCGCCUGCACUACCUCCUGCUGCACACAGAUGGGCCCCUGGCCAGCUCCUGGCGCCACUACAUUGCCAUCAUGGCUGCUGCCCGCCACCAGUGUUCCUACCUGGUGGGCUCCCACAUGGCCGAGUUUCUGCAGACUGGCGGUGACCCUGACUGGCUGCUUGGCCUCCACCGUGCCCCUAAGAAGCUGCGCAAGCUUAAUGAGAUCAACAAGUUGCUGGCACAUCGCCCAUGGCUCAUCACCAAGGAGCAUAUCCAGGCCUUGCUGAAGACGGGUGAGCAUAGCUGGUCCCUGGCUGAGCUCAUCCAGGCCCUGGUCCUGCUCACCCACUGUCACUCACUGGCCUCCUUCGUGUUUGGCUGUGGCAUCCUCCCUGAGGGGGACCCGGAGGGCAGCCCUGUACCCCAGGCACCUUCACCCCCCAGCGAGCGAAGCAGCCCCCCCAGCAGAGACUCACUGAACAAUUCUGGGGGCUUCGAGGCUGCCCGAGACGUGGAGGCUUUGAUGGAACGCAUGAGGCAGCUGCAGGAGAACCUGUUGCGGGAUGAGGGAGCGUCUCAGGAAGAGAUGGAGAGCCGCUUUGAGCUGGAGAAGUCGGAGAGCUUGCUGGUGACCCCCUCGGCUGACAUUCUGGAGUCCUCUCCACACCCAGACAUGCUGUGCUUUGUAGAAGACCCCACUUUCGGAUAUGAGGACUUCACCCGGCGAGGGACGCAGGCGCCCCCUACCUUCCGUGCCCAGGAUUAUACCUGGGAAGACCAUGGCUACUCCCUGAUCCAGAGGCUUUACCCGGAGGGUGGGCAGCUGCUAGAUGAGAAGUUCCAGGCAGCCUACAGCCUCACCUACAACACCAUGGCCAUGCACAGCGGAGUGGACACCUCCAUGCUCCGCAGGGCCAUCUGGAACUACAUCCACUGCGUCUUUGGCAUCAGGGUGGGGCUGGAAGAGAGGAGCUCGUUCUGGAAGCUGAGUGAUGCUGUUGUGCCUUUUCAUCUAGGUAUGAUGACUAUGACUACGGGGAGGUGAACCAGCUCCUGGAGCGGAACCUCAAGGUCUAUAUCAAGACAGUGGCCUGCUACCCAGAGAAGACCACCCAGAGAAUGUACAGACUCUUCUGGAGGCACUUCCGCCACUCAGAGAAGGUCCACGUGAACUUGCUGCUUCUGGAGGCCCGCAUGCAAGCUGCCCUGCUCUAUGCCCUCCGUGCCAUCACCCGCUACAUGACCUGACUCCCACACAGGCCCCGGGCCCGGAGCAGCUAACUCUCGGGCAUCCUCCUCUGCAGGAACUUUUCUGUCUGGAGACAGACCCGAUCCCUUUCUGUCCCACGCCCACCCACCACACUCGGGGGGUGGGCUUUUGUGUGAGGUGCAGCCCCCAAGCCACACCCUACAUUUUCUCACUGGAAUGGACAGGAUCUCUGGGAUCUCAGCUGUGGCCCUGGGAGCUGGAAGAGGACUAGCAGAUCUGCAGGGGCCCUCUUCCUGCCCCUGAACCCAGAGGCAGAAGGCACAGGAAGUAAAUGGGCUGAAUUCGGAUUUAUGUACCUCCAGGUGGGGCCCACCACAAGGACUGUGGCCUUCCUGGACUGGAAAGGUCCCCGGCUGGCCCCUGAGGGAGAGGGGCCAACACCUGCAGGGACUGACACUCCAAGCAGCUUUCCUUUUCCUCCAUCAUUCUCAUUUCAUUACCUCUCACCUGCCAUUAACCCAUCAAUGUGAAAGUCGGGGUCACAGCUGGUCUGUGCAUCCGGCUCCCCAAAGACCUGUUCAGUUGGGCAGCCUGAAGGCCCCUUGUUUCCUGAUUGCCCCAAUCCUAUUUCAUUUCCUUUGACCUCCUCUGACCUCCCACCCUUUCCUCCGACACCUGGUGGUGUGAGGCCCCAGAAGAGAGACCAAGCACAUCAAAAAAGUAGAUGAUCUCUAGAGAAUUUGAGUAGCUUUGAGGGUCACUUUGCCUUUUGAAGUGUAGGGAGUAUUAGAUAUUAAAUUCUCUGUAUUUUGGUCCUUUGUGGAUGAAGUCCAGACCUCUCCAGGGCCUCACCUUUAGAGCCACAGUCAGUGGCUGUGAGGAGGAGGACGGGGCAAUCUUCUCCCCAGAGCUUGGCCUCUCCUGUCUCCUGAGCUCUGCUGCAGAUAUUUGCCAAAAACUUGAUCCUUUCUAGGUGGCCCAUGGCCCAGCGGGAGAGAUGGGAGACCCCAGGGUUGCUUGGGCCCUGCCACUGGCCCGGUGACCAUGGCUAUGUUGCCAAACCUCCUUGACCCCGAUUUCCUGGGUUUCAGACUAAGGGGAGGGGAUACUUUCCAUGCCUGAGUCUUCACUCUGGGUGUCUCAGGCCAACCUGCCAGCAGUGAACUGCAAAUGGUGCAGGAUUUUGAAGGCCUCCGGGGACUCCCACUCUUGCGGUCAGUCUCCCGGCUGCCUUCCAAGGACCACCCAGAUUCUGUCCCCUCUCCUCAGUUUUAGGUGGAUCACUUGGAGGCAGAAGCAGCCAAGGACUGACCCCAGGCACUUUCUGUAGCAAACAAGCUGUGAAUUACGACUUCCCUGGCCCUUCUUCCAGCAGUAUGUGCCUCCUCUCUGACCAGUUUGGAGGUGACUGAAGAAAGGCAAGGGCCAAGAUGCUGCUUGCUUCUGACCCUCCUCCCUGGGGUGGGGCAGGAAAGGAGCCUGGUCAGUGUGCCACAUUUCAUACCCGUGCAGGCAUGGGGAAGCGACUGGCACCUCAGACGUCACAGCCCUCCCUGCAGUGAAGCUGGGCGGGAGGGAAGAGGCCCCAGCCUGGGUUUAGAGUCUAGAGAGGACAUGAUGACUCUGUAAAUGUUCUGUGGGUGGACAGGGAGGGGUAUUCAGUGUUCAAGUGCACACGUCUUUGGCUUUGUUACCAGUUCUGUAUGAUGAGAAAUAAAAGUUCACCGAGGUUUUGUUUUGUA